UCAAGUCAGCAUGGCCUUUAUAUCCAGGGCUACUCACACGCUACAAUGGGCAGUACAACGGGAAGCGAAAGGGCGACCUGGAGCGAAUCCUAUCAAAGCUGCUCGUAGUUCAGAUUGCAGGCUGCAACUCGCCUGCAUGAAGCCGGAGUUGCUAGUAAACGCAGGUCAGCCAUACUGCGUUGAAUACGUUCCCGGGCCUU
rnacentral:rRNA from 1 species